ACACUCCUGCGGGAGGCAGCAGUGGGGAAUAUUGCACAAUGGGCGCAAGCCUGAUGCAGCCAUGCCGCGUGUAUGAAGAAGGCCUUCGGGUUGUAAAGUACUUUCAGCGGGGAGGAAGGCGAUAAGGUUAAUAACCUUGUUGAUUGACGUUACCCGCAGAAGAAGCACCGGCUAACUCCGUGCCAGCAGCCGCGGUAAUACGGAGGGUGCAAGCGUUAAUCGGAAUUACUGGGCGUAAAGCGCACGCAGGCGGUCUGUCAAGUCGGAUGUGAAAUCCCCGGGCUCAACCUGGGAACUGCAUUCGAAACUGGCAGGCUAGAGUCUUGUAGAGGGGGGUAGAAUUCCAGGUGUAGCGGUGAAAUGCGUAGAGAUCUGGAGGAAUACCGGUGGCGAAGGCGGCCCCCUGGACAAAGACUGACGCUCAGGUGCGAAAGCGUGGGGAGCAAACAGGAUUAGAAACCCUAGUAGUCCCA
rnacentral:rRNA from 1 species